AAAAAGGCUCAGAACAUUUCACUUGUUCAGUCCCUAGUAAUCUCACGACUGGGUCACUGUAACUCUCUUCUAGCAGGUCUACCUCUGAAUGCCACCCUGCCUCUACAAGUUAUACAGAACGCAGCAAUACCGUCCCACACCACCCCUGCCAGCUACCAGCUCCCGGACCCCAGGAGACCUAAUUAUGAUUUUAUAAUCCAGUCCGUGGUUCCACAUGGUGAAAACAAGGUCCCGGAAAUCCUAGCUGGUGGAAGUCUGCUAUUGAGGAUAUCCUGCCCCAAAAACACACACACACACACACACACACACACACACACACACACACACACACACAACAUUCCCAUUCCAGCAUCCUCUGCUUACAGGCUCAGGCACGAGAGCACCUCCAAGCAGGAGGUUGACCUGUUUUUCUGUCAGUUGUAGCCAUUAACUGAAAUCAGAUUUUUAUUGUUUCUUUAGCAGUGCAUUAAACUGGAUCUUCCCCAUUGAUUGCAAUUUCAUAUUCUGGUGAUAUCAUAAAAAAAUGUAUAAAUGAAUACUUUAUUUGAGGAUCUUUGACAAGGACCAAAUUACACUACUCAUAAUAAGUUAGAGCUAUUGUAAGUAAGAGACUUAGUGGAUGUCAUACAUACGGUGUUUGUUUCACUUCAGACAUUUUUAAGCUAGGGAGGCAGUUGUAUUGGGGUGAUGACCACCUCAUUUUGUGUUUUCCAUGUAAUGGUCUCAUUGUGUACAGGUGUGCCUUAUAUUGGGGCCAAUAUCAAGAGACAACCUUUCUCAAUGUGGCAUCAGUUUUAACAUUCUGUGGGUUUAAAAAGCUGGUAUUGUCAGUAAGUAAUUCCAAGUUCAUCAUUCAAACAGCCAACGUCACUAAACAGACGAGCAGGGUCACCUGGCCAUAAGGGUCGGUGGCAGGCAGUCAGAUGUUGCUCGUGAGCUUGGUGUGUUUCAAAGUGUCAUCAGCAGACUUGCUUCAAGACACAGAACUACUGUCAGAGUUCAUGACAGACCCAGGAGUGGAGCCGCAUGAAUGACAGAGCGCAAUGAUGACCAGGACCUAAGGACCUAUACACUCGGACAUUGUUUACGAGAUGUGAGGGUUCUAGCAUUUCCAGACAAACCAUUCACAACCGACUCCACCGCUUUGGCUUGAAUGCCAGACGACCCUUGACUCCACUGACACCCAGACACUGCGUGAAUGUUUGCAGUGGCCACAAGACCAUGUGACCUGGACAAUGCAGCAGUGGUCUACCGUCCUGUUCACUGAUGAGUUUCGCGUCAGCGUUGCUGGAGAAGGUGAAGUG
rnacentral:lncRNA from 1 species